UGGGGUUUGGCAGUGUGUAGGGCAGUGAAUUUGGGGUGUCUCUCCUCAAAUUUCUGAAAGUAGUAAACGCGGAUUUCCCGGAAUGUCUUGCAUACAGCUAAAAAGUGCAGCUCUGUCUCGACAACUUUGUCUUCACACUGUCGACAGAAACGUUCGUCUUUUUGCAUCCGGGUCUUUUUUGUCUGCCUGUUUCUAUUGCAAACCAUCCAGGUAUUGAAAGUAAAAACCAUACUACUGCUACUGAGCCAAAGAAAAAGAAUGCCUGGGCCGCAAUUUGCAGUGAAUUCAGUGCAAAUGAAAAUGUAACCACAAGAACAGUACAACAACUUCAGACUCUGUGGAAGAACAUUAAACUGGCUUUAAAAAGAGAAAAUGCAAAGACCAGAAGAGAGAGAUUUAAUACUGGUGGUGGACCACCAAAAAAAGACAAGGCUGAUGAAUUGAGUGACUUGCUGUCUGGAAUUAUUGAACCCCAGCAUCCUCUGGAUGGUAUACCAGACGAUGACCAUUUGGAUAGUUCAGAUGAAGAACUGAGCACAAAUGAGGAAAGGAAUCUGAGCAGUGUGGAAGAGCCUGCAGUGUCCAGAGAGUGUGGGCCCUCUACAUCUACUAUAACAUCCUUAAGAGAAGAUGCUGCUGCCACCUCUCAACAGAGAACAAAAAAGAUGACCAUGCAUGAAAGUUAGCCAGAGAAUUUCAUGAGCAUAAAAUGAAAUAUCUGAAGGAAGAACAUGAAAUGAAAAUGAGAAUUCUACAGGUUGAAUUGGAUAUGAAGUUGGAAGAGAGAGCUAUCCAAAAAAGAUGCAGUAAUGAGACAAUUGUGAU